ACAGCAGUAGCCGCGGGAAUACGAAGGGUGCAAGCGUUACUCGGAAUUACUGGGCGUAAAGCGUGCGUAGGUGGUGGUUUAAGUCCGUUGUGAAAGCCCUGGGCUCAACCUGGAAAUUGCAGUGGAUACUGGGUCACUAGAGUAUGGUAGAGGAUAGUGGAAUUUCCGGUGUAGCAGUGAAAUGCGUAGAGAUCGGAAGGAACAUCUGUGGCGAAGGCGACUAUCUGGGCCAACACUGACACUGAGGCACGAAAGCGUGGGGAGCAAACAGGAUUAGAUACCCCUGUAGUCCCUGUCUCUUAUAC
rnacentral:rRNA from 1 species